rnacentral:lncRNA from 1 species
AAAACGCUGCCUCAGGUGCGCCACCAUGGUAGCCAUUGGCACCUGCUAUUCUUCAGCCCUCAGCAAACCUACAACAGAAGGAUUCUGUGGAAGACCAUGCAAGGUAGACAACUGUUUAAUGUCCUCCAUCUCAAAGGCAGGUAUGCCAAAGCCCCAGUGGUAGUGCCCUCUUGGAACUCUGAAGUUCCCACUCCUGAAACAGUCUAUGCUGAGAAUGCACAGGCCAGUCCCAAUGAGGUGAUUUUGCCAUUCCUUCCCAGUUAGACUCCCUUCAGCCUCCAGACAGUUAACUGCUGGGAUCCUCCUGUCACUCCAGAAAUACAGGUGGGUUCUACCUCUUUAAGUCUUGAUGGCAUUAGGGUACACUGUGCACCAGUAUCCAGUAGAGCCUGACACAUUUGUGGGUCUGGUGUGCCAGGCCAUUAAACAUGUCCAGUAAACUUGAUUGUUCAGAAACACCAGGAGAAGCAGCCCAAGGGGUGGUUCUGCUGGUGAGGACACGUUUGUGGCAGCAGCCUGAGUGGGCAGCAGCUGUGCGCACAGCUGGCAAGGGGAGGCCAGGAAGCGCAUGCUAAGAGCGCUCCUGCCAGCAGAGCCAAGGUUGGGGCCAAGGCCUAGGGCAGAGGCAGACCCAGGGCAGGGGGCUUCAAGGGCCAUGCUGAGCUCCCUGCCCCUGCAGCAGCCGCACUGGCCCUCAGAAGAUGUGCUGGCCGGCAUGCACUGACAGAUCCUGGCGUGCAUCAGAGAGCAACAAGGAGGGCACUGGGGAGGUCCAGGGCGAGAGAGGCCUAGGAGAACUUUUUGGUACAGAGUACUACAGAAAAAAACAUCGAGUCCCUCAGCCACAUCUCUGCUUUUCCUCCACAUUGCAUCUGGGCUCUUCAUUCCACAACCUCUGCUGUACCGGAAGAGAAAUUAUGAGAAACAAGAGUCACAGAAAAUGACUACCUGCUGGUUAUUUUAUUUGGUUAGUUACAAAGCUUACCAGCACCUGCAAAUCAGGUCUUUGGGUUAAAAAACAAUGACAACAACAACAAAAGGUCAAAGAAGUGAGAUGGAGAAAAAUGUUUUUAUUGGACUAGUA